rnacentral:rRNA from 1 species
GUGUCAGCCGCCGCGGUAAUACGUAGGUGGCAAGCGUUGUCCGGAAUUAUUGGGCGUAAAGCGCGCGCAGGUGGGAUCUUAAGUCUGUUCUGAAAGUUCGGAGCUUAACUCCGUGAUGGGAUGGAAACUGGGAUUCUUGAGUAUCGGAGAGGAAAGCGGAAUUCCCCGUGUAGCGGUGAAAUGCGUAGAUAUGGGGAGGAACACCAGUGGCGAAGGCGGCUUUCUGGACGAUGUCUGACACUGAGGCGCGAAAGCUAGGGGAGCGAACGGGAUUAGAUACCCCGGUAGUCCUAGCCGUAAACGAUGGGUACUAGGUGUGGGGGGUGUCAACUCCUCCCGUGCCGGCGCUAACGCAAUAAGUACCCCGCCUGGGGAGUACGGCCGCAAGGUUGAAACUCAAAGGAAUUGACGG